rnacentral:tRNA from 1 species
CAAGGGGUGGUUUAAUUAAAAUUUCAGCUUUGGGAGCUUUAGAUAGGAGUUAGAGUCUCCUUCCCUUGA